rnacentral:rRNA from 1 species
CAGCCGCCACGGGAAUACGAAGGGUGCAAGCGUUAAUCGGAAUUACUGGGCGUAAAGCGUGCGUAGGCGGUUUGUUAAGUCUGUUGUGAAAUCCCCGGGCUCAACCUGGGAAUGGCAAUGGAUACUGGCAAGCUAGAGUGUGUCAGAGGAUGGUGGAAUUCCCGGUGUAGCGGUGAAAUGCGUAGAGAUCGGGAGGAACAUCAGUGGCGAAGGCGGCCAUCUGGGACAACACUGACGCUGAGGCACGAAAGCGGGGGGAGCAAACAGGAUUAGAUACCCCAGUAGUCCCUGUCUCUUAUAC